UACGUAGGGAGCAAGCGUUGUCCGGAAUCAUUGGGCGUAAAGCGCGCGUAGGUGGCCUCAUAAGUCCGCUGUGAAAGUCAAAGGCUCAACCUUUGAAAGCCGGUGGAUACUGUGAGGCUAGAGUACGGAAGAGGCGAGUGGAAUUCCUGGUGUAGCGGUGAAAUGCGCAGAUAUCGGGAAGAACACCCGUGGCGAAGGCGGCUCUCUGGGACGGUACUGACGCUGAGACGCGAAAGCGUGGGGAGCGAACAGG
rnacentral:rRNA from 1 species